rnacentral:rRNA from 1 species
AUUGAACGCUGGCGGCAGGCCUAACACAUGCAAGUCGAGCGGUAGCACAAGAGAGCUUGCUCUCUGGGUGACGAGCGGCGGACGGGUGAGUAAUGUCUGGGAAACUGCCUGAUGGAGGGGGAUAACUACUGGAAACGGUAGCUAAUACCGCAUGACGUCUUCGGACCAAAGUGGGGGACCUUCGGGCCUCACGCCAUCAGAUGUGCCCAGAUGGGAUUAGCUAGUAGGUGGGGUAAUGGCUCACCUAGGCGACGAUCUCUAGCUGGUCUGAGAGGAUGACCAGCCACACUGGAACUGAGACACGGUCCAG